ensembl:snRNA U6 U6 spliceosomal RNA
GUGCUUGCCUUGGCAGCACAGAUACCAAAACUGGGACUAUACAGAGAAGAUUAGCACAGCUCCUGCACAAGAUGACACACAGAUUCAUGAAGUGCUCCAUAUUUAA